rnacentral:rRNA from 1 species
AGUCGAGGGGCAGCAUUUCAGUUUGCUUGCAAACUGGAGAUGGCGACCGGCGCACGGGUGAGUAACACGUAUCCAACCUGCCGAUAACUCGGGGAUAGCCUUUCGAAAGAAAGAUUAAUACCCGAUGGNAUAAUCAGACCGCAUGGUCUUAUUAUUAAAGAAUUUCGGUUAUCGAUGGGGAUGCGUUCCAUUAGGCAGUUGGUGAGGUAACGGCUCACCAAACCUUCGAUGGAUAGGGGUUCUGAGAGGAAGGUCCCCCACAUUGGAACUGAGACACGGUCCAAACUCCUACGGGAGGCAGCAGUGAGGAAUAUUGGUCAAUGGGCGCAGGCCUGAACCAGCCAAGUAGCGUGAAGGAUGACUGCCCUAUGGGUUGUAAACUUCUUUUAUAUGGGAAUAAAGUUUUCCACGUGUGGAAUUUUGUAUGUACCAUAUGAAUAAGGAUCGGCUAACUCCGUGCCAGCAGCCGCGGUAAUACGGAGGAUCCGAGCGUUAUCCGGAUUUAUUGGGNUUUAAAGGGAGCGUAGGUGGACAGUUAAGUCAGUUGUGAAAGUUUGCGGCUCAACCGUAAAAUUGCAGUUGAUACUGGCUGUCUUGAGUACAGUAGAGGUGGGCGGAAUUCGUGGUGUAGCGGUGAAAUGCUUAGAUAUCACGAAGAACUCCGAUUGCGAAGGCAGCUCACUGGACUGCAACUGACACUGAUGCUCGAAAGUGUGGGUAUCAAACAGGAUUAGAUACCCUGGUAGUCCACACAGUAAACGAUGAAUACUCGCUGUUUGCGAUAUACAGUAAGCGGCCAAGCGAAAGCAUUAAGUAUUCCACCUGGGGAGUACGCCGGCAACGGUGAAACUCAAAGGAAUUGACGGGGGCCCGCACAAGCGGAGGAACAUGUGGUUUAAUUCGAUGAUACGCGAGGAACCUUACCCGGGCUUAAAUUGCAUUUGAAUANUNUGGAAACAGNUUAGCCGCAAGGCAAAUGUGAAGGUGCUGCAUGGUUGUCGUCAGCUCGUGCCGUGAGGUGUCGGCUUAAGUGCCAUAACGAGCGCAACCCUUAUCUUUAGUUACUAACAGGUCAUGCUGAGGACUCUAGAGAGACUGCCGUCGUAAGAUGUGAGGAAGGUGGGGAUGACGUCAAAUCAGCACGGCCCUUACGUCCGGGGCUACACACGUGUUACAAUGGGGGGUACAGAAGGCAGCUACCUGGUGACAGGAUGCUAAUCCCAAAAGCCUCUCUCAGUUCGGAUCGAAGUCUGCAACCCGACUUCGUGAAGCUGGAUUCGCUAGUAAUCGCGCAUCAGCCAUGGCGCGGUGAAUACGUUCCCGGGCCUUGUNNANAGCGCCCGUCAAGCCAUGAAAGCCGGGGGUACCUGAAGUACGUAACCGCAAGGAGCUCCUAGG